rnacentral:rRNA from 1 species
UACGGAAGGCAGCAGUGGGGAAUAUUGCACAAUGGGCGAAAGCCUGAUGCAGCUAUGCCGCGUGUAUGAAGAAGGCCUUAGGGUUGUAAAGUACUUUCAUCGGGGAGGAAAAAACAAAACUAAUAAUUUUAUUUCUUGACGUUACCCGAAAAAGAAGCACCGGCUAACUCCGUGCCAGCAGCCGCGGUAAUACGGAGGGUGCUAGCGUUAAUCAGAAUUACUGGGCGUAAAGAGCACGUAGGUGGUUUUUUUAAAGUCAGAUGUGAAAUCCCUGGGCUUAACCUAGGAACUGCAUUUUGAAACUGAAAUACUAGAGUAUCGUAGAGGGAGGUAGAAUUCUAGGUGUAGCGGUGAAAUGCGUAGAUAUCUGGAGGAAUACCUGUGGCGAAAGCGGCCUCCUAAACGAAUACUGACACUGAGGGUGCGAAAGCGUGGGGAGCAAACAGGGAUAGAUACC